rnacentral:rRNA from 1 species
GGCGAGUGAAGCGGUAAAAGCUCAAAUUUGAAAUCUGGUACUUUCAGUGCCCGAGUUGUAAUUUGUAGAAUUUGUCUUUGAUUAGGUCCUUGUCUAUGUUCCUUGGAACAGGACGUCAUAGAGGGUGAGAAUCCCGUUUGGCGAGGAUACCUUUUCUCUGUAAGACUUUUUCGAAGAGUCGAGUUGUUUGGGAAUGCAGCUCAAAGUGGGUGGUAAAUUCCAUCUAAAGCUAAAUAUUGGCGAGAGACCGAUAGCGAACAAGUACAGUGAUGGAAAGAUGAAAAGAACUUUGAAAAGAGAGUGAAAAAGUACGUGAAAUUGUUGAAAGGGAAGGGCAUUUGAUCAGACAUGGUGUUUUUUGCAUGCACUCGCCUCUCGUGGGCUUGGGCCUCUCAAAAAUUUCACUGGGCCAACAUCAAUUCUGGCAGCAGGAUAAAUCAUUAAGAAUGUAGCUACUUCGGUAGUGUUAUAGCUUUUUGGAAUACUGUUAGCCGGGAUUGAGGACUGCGCUUCGGCAAGGAUGUUGGCAUAAUGGUUAAAUGCCGCCCGUCUUGA